UUUUUUUUUUUUUUUUUUUUUUUUUUUAUUGUAUCAUUUUCC
rnacentral:ribozyme from 17 species